rnacentral:rRNA from 1 species
GACGAACGCUGGCGGCGUGCCUAAUACAUGCAAGUUGAGCGCUGAAGGUUGGUACUUGUACCAACUGGAUGAGCAGCGAACGGGUGAGUAACGCGUGGGGAAUCUGCCUUUGAGCGGGGGACAACAUUUGGAAACGAAUGCUAAUACCGCAUAAAAACUUUAAACACAAGUUUUAAGUUUGAAAGAUGCAAUUGCAUCACUCAAAGAUGAUCCCGCGUUGUAUUAGCUAGUUGGUGAGGUAAAGGCUCACCAGGGCGAUGAUACAUAGCCGACCUGAGAGGGUGAUCGGCCACAUUGGGACUGAGACACGGCCCAAACUCCUACGGGAGGCAGCAGUAGGGAAUCUUCGGCAAUGGACGAAAGUCUGACCGAGCAACGCCGCGUGAGUGAAGAAGGUUAUCGGAUCGUAAAACUCUGUUGGUAGAGAAGAACGUUGGUGAGAGUGGAAAGCUCAUCAAGUGACGGUAACUACCCAGAAAGGGACGGCUAACUACGUG